UUGAUUUAUUGGUCGCCAUCUCUCGCCCAACUUCACCUUCUCUGACAUAAUCACUACACCUUCUUCCUCUCUGUUUCUAUAUCAGAAACUUCAUCUUCCUCUCAAGU
rnacentral:sRNA from 1 species